GACGAACGCUGGCGGCGUGCCUAACACAUGCAAGUCGAGCGGAGGUAUCUGAGGAGUAAUCUGAUGAUACUUUAGCGGCGGACGGGUGAGUAACGCGUGAGCAACCUGCCUAUCACAGGGGGAUAAGACGGCGAAAGCCGUUCUAAUACCGCAUGAGACCACACUACUGAUGGUAGAGGGGUCAAAGGAGCAAUCCGGUGAGAGAUGGGCUCGCGUCCGAUUAGGUAGUUGGUGAGGUAACGGCCCACCAAGCCAAUGAUCGGUAGCCGGCCUGAGAAGGUGAACGGCCACAUUGGAACUGAGAGACGGUCCAAACUCCUACGGGAGGCAGCAGUGGGGAAUAUUGGGCAAUGGGGGAAACCCUGACCCAGCAACGCCGCGUGAGGGAAGAAGGUUUUCGGAUUGUAAACCUCUGUUCUUGGUGAAGAGAAGAAGACGGUAGCCAAGGAGGAAGCCCCGGCUAACUACGUGCCAGCAGCCGCGGUAAAAC
rnacentral:rRNA from 1 species